GGUCUUCGGCCCCAGGCCUGGCACCGGAGGUCAGAGUGUGUGUGUGUCAGUGGACAAUGACCCAGCCGGACAAACCCCCCACACACACUUCAAACACAACUCACUGAGACCUUACACCGCGACCAGACCAUUGGCAUCUUUCAAGACGGGUAUUAGGUGCAUGGAGAGCAGUUUAAAGAGCCCAUCGUGAAACAGCCCAUCCCAAGAGAAGCACUGAUGUUAGAGAUAGUUCAGUCAGAGAUUGAGCAAUUAUUUAAGCAACAUCUGUGUAUAUUCCUGACUUCUCAAGAACUGGAUGAUUGUUCAGGCUAAUUUCUCUGCGAUGGAGUAGACACACAAAACAGGCAAGAUUAUUUUCAGUUAUUUUCUCUUUUAAUGCAGAUGCUGGUAAUGAAAAAUUUAAAGCUUUGAGCAAAAGUGCAAGGAAUGGAUUAAACGGUGUUUGUCAUGUUUGUUCAUUCUCAGCCAAACUCCUAUAGCAAACUUUGUCUGCCGAGGAAGAUUUUAUUAUAUGAUCGAAAGCUCUAGAACAGCUACAAAAUGGACUUGUGAAUGGAUCUUGAAUGGAUCUUAACAACUACUGUAUGCAAGAAUAUGUUGUGAGGACGGCUGCUGAGUUCCCCGACAGUAGAUCCUAUCGACUCUCCCUGCUGGGUUUUCUCUGCUGACGGGGAGAACAGGCUCUAAUGCUCUGAAAACAAGCCUGCUGUGGUAGACGCAGACGGAUAGAAUAAAUGACUGGUAACAUUAGAAGAGGUAAAGAACAGUGUUGAGGAGGGGGAAAAAAUUCAAAGAGAUGUGGGGUGAGAGUGAAGACAAGGGAAAUGACCAAAAUGGCAGAAAGUGAGAAGUAGAACAGCUUGUCAUGAAAUCGCAAACAAUAAUACACAAUAGUCUUGUCCUGACAUUUAUCUGAAUGAGAUGUUUGACACAAAUGUACUGAAAGGUGAUCUAAAACUAAUGCUCCUAUUUUCUAUAACUUAAUUUGUAUUUAAAGCAAUUAAAUUCCCAAGAGACCAGUUUAAAAAGAAGACAUACAUUCAUACAUUUUGGACUAUUCUGUCAAACACAGGUCGAUCCAGUGCCAGUGUUCAGUGCCAAGUAGGAACUAGUAUGAUGUUCAUAUAGCAUCAUUAGUAAAAAAUUAGGCAUGUAGAGGGACGCCUCCUUAGCUUUAACAGCAGAGUCAGUGUUGGCUUUUGUUUUGUUUAACCAUGGUAACUGUCCCUAAUUUUAACCAAUCAACACACCACAGGUCUGUUUGGCGGGUGGAAUGGAAUAAAAAACCUCUUCAGAAACAGGCUUUCUCUGUUUAACACAGGAUUAUGUUGGCUGUCGAAGCACAAACGCUCUGUCAAGUAUUGUAGCUUUAGCAGUUUAAGAAGAGAAAGUACUGCCUGCCUCCCAACCUGCCAAAGUGUAAGUUCUGGCCAGACUGGGAGCAGUGAGUAGGACUCGCUGUCCAAUCUGCCAGGGUCGUGACCUCAGCUCCGUCCCAUUACUCUGAGAAUCUCAUCCCUGCCUGGCAUCAACUCUGGCCUCGUUCCACAGCACUGCUCAACUUGUUUGUGUGUUGAUCAUGAGGUGCAGAGAAGCCAGCAUGUUGAUGUGUGCGGUGUUUAAAUAAAAGUUAUGUCAACUGAUUUGUUCCUGAUGUGCCAGACAUACAUCCCAGAGCCCAUAAGUAAUUUACAUUACAAAGACAGCAACCUUUCUCAUUUGACUGCACAGAUUUUACACAGUGAAUUGCCUCGGAGCAGAACAAACUACGGACUUAGCAAAGAGUACACUUAAG